ensembl:lncRNA
CUCCGUUUCAGGAGGCUAUCGCCUGUUUAACAAAACAGAACAGCCGCAGCCGCUCUUCCCGACAAAUACCAGUACGCUUCUCUCCUCAGGAAACUGCCACGGGCAUCCCUGGUGUAUCCCCAAGCCCUCAGCUGCCAGGCACAAAAGGUUUAACAUCUUCUACCAAGGCCUGCCCUAUUUACCUCAAAAAGAACUAAGAAUGCUGCUUUCCUGAAAAAACAAACACACAAACCUCCGCGGCCGCCCCCGACCCCCUCCGUAAGCCCCCUCUGCAAGUGGAAUACAGUCUGAACUACUUUCACAGUUGGAAACCAGCUUACCAUUCUAACCUUCUAUCUGCUCAACACCUGUGUUCCAGUUAUACUGUGUUGGGCCAAUUGCCAUUCUUUGAAUAUAUCCUGGAUGUUUAAUGCCCCUGUGUGAUUUGCUCACUCUGUUCAUUUAUUCUGGAUUUCUCUUCAUCCCCAUCUUUACCUGUUGAAUUGUUCCCAAACCUUCAAGAGCCUACUGAGAUGCCUUCUUCUUUAACAAUGUUCUUCCAGAAAUUCCCAGUCAAAUCUGAGAGAUCAAUUAACUUCUCUUUCCCAACAUUCUGUGCUUCUAUUACAACACUUACUAAGUUGGUCUGUAUGUUACAGCUGGCUGUGUCCUCUUGGCUCCCCACUGUCAUAGCCUGCAAGGCAUAAUAUGUUUCUGACUCAACUUAAAUCCCAUGGCAAUUGGCAACAUGCGUUUUAAAAUGAAUAACCAUCCUUUGGAUGUAUAUAAACUUUGCUUAUUGUAAAAAUUCAAAUAAAUAAAAGUAUAAGGAAGGAAAUAAACCAACACACUGAAAUAACCACUGUUAAUGUUUUGAUGAUCAUAUUUUCAUGUAUAUAUUUAUGCAUAUGUCCAUCCAUCAUUUAUCCACAAAUGGAAUUAUCUCAUGUAUGUUAUGUUUAGGAUACACCCUUUUUUAUUAUUCUCUUUUCUUACCUGACUCUUCCCUCACUGUUCCCCCUCUCAACUAUUUUAAAAAAGUUAAGCAUGUUAAUAUAACCAUAUAUAUGUGUAUUUUACAAAGUGAGGAAUCAUAGUGUAAACCCUUCUCUGCUUCUUGCUUUCCUCAUUAAACAAUGUCAUAAAAAUCCUUCCAGUUUAACUGGUAUAGCACUGAUUCAUUCUUUUAUUUUAGAGGCUGCAUAAUGUUCCACAGUAUGGAUGUACCAAAAUUAACUCAAUUCUUAAAAAAUUUCCACUGGCACCAGUGUUUAAAUAAACAUCCUUUAUGUGUAUCCAAAUGCCCUGGUAAUUUAAUUUCUGAGGGACUGAUUUCCAGGUGUGAGAUUGGUCUAUUUAAAAUGUUACUAGAUUGCCUUCUAAAAGACCAUAACAAUUUACUUUACUUAUUUUUUAGCUAUUCUGCUAAAUGAAUAGUGAUAAUUUGUUGUUCCUUUAAUUUUUAUUUCACUGUCUACUAGUAAAGCUGUUUGUUUUCUGUUUCCCCUU